CGAUCCGUAGCUGGUCUGAGAGGACGACCAGCCACACUGGAACUGAGACACGGUCCAGACUCCUACGGGAGGCAGCAGUGGGGAAUUUUGGACAAUGGGGGCAACCCUGAUCCAGCCAUUCCGCGUGAGUGAAGAAGGCCUUCGGGUUGUAAAGCUCUUUCAGCAGGAACGAAACGGUGGCUACUAAUACUAGCUACUAAUGACGGUACCUGAAGAAGAAGCACCGGCUAACUACGUGCCAGCAGCCGCGGUAAUACGUAGGGUGCGAGCGUUAAUCGGAAUUACUGGGCGUAAAGCGUGCGCAGGCGGUUAUGUAAGACAGGUGUGAAAUCCCCGGGCUUAACCUGGGAACUGCGCUUGUGACUGCAUAACUCGAGUGUGGCAGAGGGGGGUGGAAUUCCACGUGUAGCAGUGAAAUGCGUAGAGAUGUGGAGGAACACCGAUGGCGAAGGCAGCCCCCUGGGUCAACACUGACGCUCAUGCACGAAAGCGUGGGGAGCAAACAGGAUUAGAUACCCUGGUAGUCCACGCCCUAAACGAUGCGAACUAGGUGUUGGGGAAGGAGACUUUCUUAGUACCGCAGCUAACGCGUGAAGUUCGCCGCCUGGGGAGUACGGUCGCAAGAUUAAAACUCAAAGGAAUUGACGGGGACCCGCACAAGCGGUGGAUGAUGUGGAUUAAUUCGAUGCAACGCGAAAAACCUUACCUACCCUUGACAUGUCAGGAAGUCCGCUGAGAGGUGGAUGUGCUCGAAAGAGAACCUGAACACAGGUGCUGCAUGGCUGUCGUCAGCUCGUGUCGUGAGAUGUUGGGUUAAGUCCCGCAACGAGCGCAACCCUUGUCAUUAAUUGCCAUCAUUCAGUUGGGCACUUUAAUGAGACUGCCGGUGACAAACCGGAGGAAGGUGGGGAUGACGUCAAGUCCUCAUGGCCCUUAUGGGUAGGGCUUCACACGUCAUACAAUGGUCGGUACAGAGGGUCGCCAACCCGCGAGGGGGAGCCAAUCCCACAAAGCCGAUCGUAGUCCGGAUCGCAGUCUGCAACUCGACUGCGUGAAGUCGGAAUCGCUAGUAAUCGUGGAUCAGCAUGUCACGGUGAAUACGUUCCCGGGUCUUGUACACACCGCCCGUCACACCAUGGGAGUGGGUUCCACCAGAAGUAGGUAGUCUAACCGCAAGGGGGGCGCUUACCACGGUGGGAUUCAUGACUGGGGUGG
rnacentral:rRNA from 1 species